rnacentral:lncRNA from 1 species
GCCAUCAUCAACUCUGUUCUAGGCAUAGGAGACCUGAUUCGGUGUCGACAUGGCCAGAUCCGUCCUGUUUCAGGUCAUUAAAUAGGCUGAAAAUAGUUGAUUUUUAAGCUGAAAACAGGUCGUUUUCGACCUGAAACAAGCCGGAUUGGCCAUACCGACGCUCGGUUCGAGUCUUAACUGGCCAGAUCCGGUCAGAUAUUGUGGCAUUUAGCCUGUAAACAGUAGAGGCGACAGGCAGACGAAGUUGA